UGUAACUGAAAAUUAAGGAUAUAUGUAUGUGAUGGAGAGGUGACAUUGUGUAUUUACACAGAGUAGUUUGGGAAUUGUGUUUAUAUGUGUUAGGGAUACAUGAUACAGUUAUUUCUUAGAAUUGGAGUAGAGGUAAAGUGUUUUCUACUUGCCCAUGAUUAUCUGGGAUUUGUAAGUGAGAAGAAGUGUAUUUUAUGAUCUGGUGGAGCUAGAUCUUGUGUGUGCAAAUUGGUUUGUGGAUUCUGUUAGUUUCUUCAUUUUGAAUGAGGUUGUUAGAAAAGUGUAUUUGUUUGGAGAAUGCUGUGACAUUUCUAGAUGUGGAUAGGAAUGUUUGGCUGGUGAGGUUGGCAGGGUGCUUUCUGAAUAUGUAGAAUACUGUGUAGUGUUUGGGGGAAUCUCUAUAUUCACGUUUUGGAUAUAUUUCUGUGUCUGUCUCACCUGUGUGGAAAUUAUGUAGGUAUUGAUCCUUAUAUAGAGAUUAAUGUGUGCAUGGUUUUUCUUGUGUGCUUGUAUUGAACUCUGCCUCAUGCAUGCAAGAUUAGCAUUUUUUGUGUUAUAUGUGUAGGCACCCAAGUGAUUAGGUGUAUGUUUAUGGAUUUGUGGAUGUGUGUAUUUAGAAUCUAUGUGUAUAAAAGAUGCUCAGGAAUUGUGUUUGUGUUUAUUGUGGCAUGAAAUUCUUGAAGAUACUUUUGAUAUUAGUACAUGGGUGUGGUUCUGGUAUAUAAUUAUGUUUUAGUCUCAUGCAUUUGAGAAACCUAGGUUGUUGGUAGCUGACCAUGUCUUGAAUUCAUGGGGGUUCCUGGGGUGCAUACUCUGGCAGAUGUGAGAGGUUCAUAGUGUGCUUCCAAAUAGAUUUUAUUCGGAUGUUGUAGAAUGUAUGUAAUUUAGAACUGUGGAAGGGGAUAGUAGAGGAUAGGAAAGGUAGCAGAAUNN
rnacentral:lncRNA from 1 species